AACCGGAUUAGAUACCCUGGUAGUCCACGCCGUAAAGAUGUCGACUUGGAGGUUGUUCCCUUGAGGAGUGGCUUCCGGAGCUAACGCGUUAAGUCGACCGCCUGGGGAGUACGGCCGCAAGGUUAAAACUCAAAUGAAUUGACGGGGGCCCGCACAAGCGGUGGAGCAUGUGGUUUAAUUCGAUGCAACGCGAAGAACCUUACCUACUCUUGACAUCCACGGAAUUUGGCAGAGAUGCCUUAGUGCCUUCGGGAACCGUGAGACAGGUGCUGCAUGGCUGUCGUCAGCUCGCGUUGUGAAAUGUUGGGUUAAGUCCCGCAACGAGCGCAACCCUUAUCCUUUGUUGCCAGCGAUUCGGUCGGGAACUCAAAGGAGACUGCCGGUGAUAAACCGGAGGAAGGUGGGGAUGACGUCAAGUCAUCAUGGCCCUUACGAGUAGGGCUACACACGUGCUACAAUGGCGCAUACAAAGAGAAGCGACCUCGCGAGAGCAAGCGGACCUCACAAAGUGCGUCGUAGUCCGGAUCGGAGUCUGCAACUCGACUCCGUG
rnacentral:rRNA from 1 species